GAUGAACGCUGGCGGCGUGCCUAAUACAUGCAAGUCGAGCGAACAGAUGAGGAGCUUGCUCCUCUGACGUUAGCGGCGGACGGGUGAGUAACACGUGGAUAACCUACCUAUAAGACUGGGAUAACUUCGGGAAACCGGAGCUAAUACCGGAUAAUAUAUUGAACCGCAUGGUUCAAUAGUGAAAGACGGUUUUGCUGUCACUUAUAGAUGGAUCCGCGCCGCAUUAGCUAGUUGGUAAGGUAACGGCUUACCAAGGCAACGAUGCGUAGCCGACCUGAGAGGGUGAUCGGGCACACUGGAACUGAGAAACGGUCCAGACUCAUAAGGGAGGCAGCAGUAGGGAAUCUUCCGCAAUGGGCGAAAGCCUGACGGAGCAACGCCGAGUGAGUGAUGAAGGUCUUCGGAUCGUAAAACUCUGUUAUUAGGGAAGAACAAAUGUGUAAGUAACUAUGCACGUCUUGACGGUACCUAAUCAGAAAGCAACGGCUAACUACGUG
rnacentral:rRNA from 1 species